AGAGUUUGAUCAUGGCUCAGGAUGAACGCUGGCGGCGUGCCUAACACAUGCAAGUCGAACGGGUGUGGUAUCAGGGAAAAGGGGUUUACUUCUUUGACCAGAUAACACACUAGUGGCGGACGGGUGAGUAACGCGUGGAUAACCUGCCUUAUACAGGGGGAUAACAGGGAGAAAUUCUUGCUAAUACCCCAUAGGUAUGUCUGACGCAUGUUGGACAUAUUAAAGCUUUGGCGGUGUAAGAUGGGUCCGCGUCUGAUUAGCUAGUUGGUGGGGUAAAGGCCCACCAAGGCGACGAUCAGUAGCCGGCUUGAGAGAGUGGACGGCCACAUUGGGACUGAGACACGGCCCAAACUCCUACGGGAGGCAGCAGUGGGGAAUAUUGCACAAUGGGGGAAACCCUGAUGCAGCGACGCCGCGUGAAGGAAGAAGGUCUUCGGAUCGUAAACUUCUAUCAGCAGGGAAGAAGGAAGUGACAGUACCUGAGUAAGAAGCCCCGGCUAACUACGUGCCAGCAGCCGCGGUAAUACGUAGGGGGCGAGCGUUAUCCGGAAUUACUGGGUGUAAAGGGUGCGUAGGCGGUAUGGCAAGUCAGUUGUGAAACCCCCUGGCUCAACCAGGGGCUUGCAAUUGAAACUGUCAUACUAGAGUGCAGGAGAGGAUAGCGGAAUUCCUAGUGUAGCGGUGAAAUGCGUAGAUAUUAGGAAGAACACCAGUGGCGAAGGCGGCUUUCUGGACUGUAACAGACGCUGAGGCACGAAAGCGUGGGGAGCGAACAGGAUUCGAUACCCUGGUAGUCCACGCCGUAAACGAUGAGUGCUAGGUGUUGGGGUCUAAUUAGAUCUCGGUGCUGAAGUUAACGCAUUAAGCACUCCACCUGGGGAGUACGAUCGCAAGAUUGAAACUUAAAUGAAUUGACGG
rnacentral:rRNA from 1 species